rnacentral:lncRNA from 1 species
CGUCCCCCUCUCCCUGGGGAACCCAACCUGGGACACGAUGUUCAACACUGGUUGGAUGGACCAGAACUCACCUGCCUCCGUCGCCCUCGGGGUCAUCUUUCUGUCCGCUGCGGAGGAAUUCAGCUGCGGCCAACGAUCCAAGCCUCCAAGGACCCCUUUCUUCCCUAGGUGAUUGAUUGAUCCCAGAAAUACCCCCACUACGUUCCCAUCUCGGGGCCUCAGUCACUCAGCCCUCUGAGCUCAUCAUCUACACAGGGGACACCUGCUCCCGGUGCGAGUGACAUCACCUUGCUAAUAAAUGAUGGCAUCCAGAGCGGGGGUGGGGCACCACCCUUGGACGGCACAAGUGGGGAGUGAGGAAAGAUGGGGGGCCGUCAGCACACCUUCCCGUCAGGGCUCCCCGCUGACCACCCUACCCAAGCCAGUCUUUUCCGUGUCACUGAGUUCGGCGUCUUCCUUUGCAGCCGAUAACUAUUUGAUGUAGUCCCUUAUUUACUUACGUACUGUCCUCCUAAAACAUAAGCUUCAUGAGGGUGGGAACCUCAUCUAUCUUGUUUAUAAUUAUAUCCUCAGCAUCUAGCAUGGCACCUGGCCCUGUGGGUUAAGAGCACACGUUGGAAGACACACAACCUCCUUUGACCUCAGGGCCGUCCACGAGCCUGCGGUUCCUCACCUGCAAACAUGCGAAUCAAGGAGGGGCUGUUGGGAGGACGAAGAGGCGACCCGAGGACAAAGCGCUGAGCGCGGUGCCUGCACAGAAACACGCACGUGCAGUGACAUCAACCCCAAACGCUGUCCAUCCUACUGUGUGUUUUCUUCUGUGGCGUGGGGCACAGAAAGGUGGGAGAUUUGGGGGGGUCUGCAAUCUAGAAGGUGAGACAGAGGGGAAGAGGCAGGUGUUCCUAGGCAACCGCGAGAAAGAAGUCAUCAGGGGACAAGCAGCACAGCUCGGGGACGCAGGCUCGGCCACGCUCACUCCAGGAGGUUCUGCAGGCCAGGAUGGCCCCUCUUGGGCACUUGAACCCGGGGAGCCGCGCCACAAAAGGCUGGGGGAGUUCAUCCUGGAGGCAGGGGCAGGGAGAAACGAGGGGAGGCCAUUUAGCAGAAAAGCAAAACUACCUGUCACGGCGGAUUUUGGAAUGUUUGUGCCAGAGGCAGAGAAGAGGAAAGCGUUUAAGUCUGAAAAAAGCCACCUCUGGGGCCUCGGCAAGCGGUCAUUCGAGACCGCAGAGUGACACCUAGUGGGCACUUGGGGAAGUGCUCCCUGCCGAGAUGGCGGGCUCAGGCAG